rnacentral:rRNA from 1 species
GAAAGCGUGGGGGAGCAAACAGGAUUAGAUACCCUGGUAGUCCACGCCGUAAACGAUGUCUACUUGAAGGUUGUGGCCUUGAGCCGUGGCUUUCGGAGCUAACGCGUUAAGUAGACCGCCUGGGGAGUACGGUCGCAAGAUUAAAACUCAAAUGAAUUGACGGGGGCCCGCACAAGCGGUGGAGCAUGUGGUUUAAUUCGAUGCAACGCGAAGAACCUUACCUACUCUUGACAUCCACAGAAGAGACCAGAGAUGGACUUGUGCCUUCGGGAACUGUGAGACAGGUGCUGCAUGGCUGUCGUCAGCUCGUGUUGUGAAAUGUUGGGUUAAGUCCCGCAACGAGCGCAACCCUUAUCCUUGUUUGCCAGCACGUAAUGGUGGGAACUCCAGGGAGACUGCCGGUGAUAAACCGGAGGAAGGUGGGGACGACGUCAAGUCAUCAUGGCCCUUACGAGUAGGGCUACACACGUGCUACAAUGGCGUAUACAGAGGGCUGCCAACCAGCGAUGGUGAGCGAAUCCCACAAAAUACGUCGUAGUCCGGAUCGGAGUCUGCAACUCGACUCCGUGAAGUCGGAAUCGCUAGUAAUCGUGAAUCAGAAUGUCACGGUGAAUACGUUCCCGGGCCUUGUACACACCGCCCGUCACACCAUGGGAGUGGGCUGCACCAGAAGUAGAUAGCUUAACCUUCGGGAGGGCGUUUACCACGGUGUGGUUCAUGACUGGGGUGAAGUCGUAACAAGGUAACCGUA